rnacentral:tRNA from 5 species
GCCGCUAUCGUCUAGUGGUUAGGACAGCGGGUUUUCAAUCCGUUAACCGGGGUUCGAUUCCCCGUAGCGGUACUA